rnacentral:rRNA from 1 species
UACGUAGGGUGCAAGCGUUGUCCGGAAUUAUUGGGCGUAAAGAGCUCGUAGGCGGUCAGUCGCGUCUGCUGUGAAAACUCGGGGCUUAACUCCGGGCCUGCAGUGGGUACGGGCUGACUAGAGUGCGGUAGGGGGAGACUGGAAUUCCUGGUGUAGCGGUGAAAUGCGCAGAUAUCAGGAGGAACACCGGUGGCGAAGGCGGGUCUCUGGGCAGUAACUGACGCUGAGGAGCGAAAGCGUGGGGAGCAAACAGG